CGCACGGAACGCGGGAAGGCCCGGUGCGGGGCGACACGCCCCGCUGCGGGGCAGUGCGGGGCCGCGGGGGGACCCGCCCGCAUGCGGGGACGCGCAUAGAAACAGUGCCCAGAAAACAUUUACGCGGAGCGCACGCACCGCGUUUUAACGUUCAGUCAACAUAAAUUUUUGUUGCUAGACUUGGUAAUAGGUACCAAGUAACAAUUCUACAGCAGUGAUGUGUCUCGUCAGCACUAACAAAAUGUACAUCGACACAGAACAAGUGAUAAUCGAAGUCCAUCAGCGGCCCGUGUUGUGGGACAAAAAACAUUUGUUAUACAAAGACAGGGACGCGAGAGAGGCAGCAUGGACGGAAAUUCUAGCGGAAUUGACACCCGACUACCAAAGUUUGAGCCCUGAGGAUAUAAAAAUGGCGGACAAGAAAAUACAACAACGCUGGCGAACAGCAAGGGACAGUUAUAAGAAGGACAGGAUAUUUGAAAAAAAUAAUCCAUCGGGCUUUAGUAGUAAAAGGAAGAAAUAUGUUUACUAUGACAUAUUGACUUUCUUAGACGGAACGGAAAAUGCUGGCGAUGAGUCACCAUGCGAAGAAUUGUAUGAAGAAAGUCAUUCACUCGUAGAAACCUUGUUAGAAACACCUGAAGUGAAACCCAGAUCAAAUAAAAGGCGAUACAAAGUUCUAAAACGAGCAAAUAAAACUAAAAGUGGAUUUGGGGCACAUACGUGUUUAAAGCCUAAUCAAUUGCAACUAGAAAGUGAGGAUUUGGAUUUCUUUCAAUCCCUGCAGCCAACAUUGAAAAGAUUCACCAGAUACCAAAAAUUAAUGUUCAGAACUAAGGUGUUAAAUAUAGUUAUGGAAAUGGAAAAAGAAGCAGAACCACAUCAAAUAUUUAUUCCAAAAUCUGAAUAAAACAAUUUUUCCAAA